rnacentral:rRNA from 1 species
GACGAACGCUGGCGGCGUGCUUAACACAUGCCAGUCGAACGGAAAGGCCCUGCUUUUGUGGGGUUCUCGAGUGGCGAACGGGUGAGUAACACGUGAGUAACCUGCCCUUGACUUUCGGAUAACUUCAGGAAACUGGGGCUAAUACCGGAUAGGAGCUCCUGCUGCAUGGUGGGGGUUGGAAAGUUUCGGCGGUUGGGGAUGGACUCGCGGCUUAUCAGCUUGUUGGUGGGGUAGUGGCUUACCAAGGCUUUGACGGGUAGCCGGCCUGAGAGGGUGACCGGCGACAUUGGGACUGAGAGACGGCCCAGACUCCUACGGGAGGCAGCAGUGGGGAAUAUUGCACAAUGGGCGGAAGCCUGAGGCAGCAAUGCCGCGUGCGGGAAGACGGCCUUCGGGUUGUAAACCGCUUUGGCCUGUGACGAAGCGUGAGUGACGGUAAUGGGUAAAGAAGCACCGGCUAACUACGUG